rnacentral:tRNA from 1 species
GCCUGGCUGGCUCAGUAGGUAGAGCAUGUGACUCUUGAUCUCUGGUUCAUGAGUUCAAGCCCCAUGUUGAGUA